rnacentral:rRNA from 1 species
AGAACGAACGCUGGCGGCAUGCCUAACACAUGCAAGUCGAACGAGACCUUCGGGUCUAGUGGCGCACGGGUGCGUAACGCGUGGGAAUCUGCCCUUGGGUUCGGGAUAACAGUUGGAAACGACUGCUAAUACCGGAUGAUGUCUUCGGACCAAAGAUUUAUCGCCCAGGGAUGAGCCCGCGUAGAUUAGCUUGUUGGUGAGGUAAGAGCUCACCAAGGCGACGAGUCCUUAGCUGUCGUGAGAGGAUGAUCAGCCACACGUGGGCGUGAGACACGGCCCAGACUCCCUACGGGAGGCAGCAGUGGGAAUAUUGGACAAUGGCGAAAGACCUGAUCGAGCAAUGCCGCGUGAGUGA